rnacentral:lncRNA from 1 species
AGCCACAAAUUCAUUUCUAAAGUAAAAAAUGAAACACAAUUUCACAUUUGCCUCCUGAAGACAAAUGAGAUGGCUGUUCUUAGAGCAUCUCUGAAGAAAGAUGCUAUAAAUAAAGCUCAAAUGAUUAUUAUCUAGAAUUAGGAAAGCCAAGACUCAAAGAAAAAUUCCUCUUAAUCAUUUGUUCAUCUCAAAAUAUUAUAAGUAAAUGUUUAGAAAAGCUUGUCAGGUUAUCAGAGAAUCUGAUUUUCUUAUGUCCUGUCAGUUUACUGUCCUACAGUUUACUUUUUAUAAAAGUAAGCUUCACAAGGACUAAUCUUUCUGCAAAAGGGAUAUUGAGAAGAUCAGUACAAUAUCUUUCUUCCCGUGGUCUUAAAAAUAAUUGUGUGAUUAUUUGUUAUAACAAAAACCAGACUCUUAGAAUCCUUGAUUCUGAGAUAAGUUACUGGCGAAAACUCCUUCACUGGAGGUAUUUUUAAAAAUAGGACAAAAUUUGAUGUCUUUAGAUUGAUAGAGGAAUAGUACUACUUGGGAGAGCUGAAAUGGAUUAAAUGUUUCUUGCCAAACUUUAUUAUAUCUAUGUCCUUUGUUGGAAUGGAUAAUAAGGGGGUUGUGAGAGUUACAAGGAAUUGGCAACAGUUAAUUCUAUAAAAUAGGAACUCCAAAUGCAUGUAAGAUAUGUGGGAGGCCACACAGAUACGGAACCAUCUGGCCUCUAUCCUGUUUGGCUGUCUGAGAGCGCCAGACUAUGCAGAACACACAUUCAACUUUUAAACAUCCUCUUUGCAAUGUCUUCACUCAACGAUGUCACACGCAGGUGUUAAUAUGGCAAUGUUCUUGGUUGCCUUGGCAAUUUGACAAAAUAAACUUGGAGUUUUAGCCCUUAAAAAGAAAUGUACAGGUGCUAAAACUUUUUUAAAAAGGAUUAGCUAUUUUGAGAUUCAAUAGAAUUUAACUAUUUUUAAAUGUCAAAGAAAAUCCAGAGUUCACUAAGAUGUAAUUAAGAAGUGAAAACACUUUCUUCCCACAUUGAACGGAAGUGGUUUUAUUUGCUCAAAAAGAGAUACUGACUUCAGGACCAGUGUUUUAGCAAUAAGGAAACUACUCACAAGUAAAAAGUUCUGCUUUUUAAAAACCCUGGAAAUGCCAUUACUAAAAUUGAUCACGUACUUAUUUACUUUUGGUUUUGAGUAACUUCUAGGAUGUUUAAAAAAUAAAACCCACCCUCACAGGACAGGGAUUUUCCACCAGUGAAUAUAAACAUAUAGAAAGGAAUAUGCUCUAGAGUUGGCACUGUAUUCUCAAAGGGGAGUCCCUCAAUUAGUUUGGUCAGUUUUUCUUUGAAGUAAAUUUAGUCUCUUCCAAGGUAAUACUUUGAUAAAGACAACAAUUAUUUUUCCAUCCAAGUUCUAUCACACACUCUUCUUGGAGUUGUAGGAUGGCUGCCAGCGCAUGCUUCUUGUUUCAUAACCAGUAGGGGGAGCAAGAGUGCUUUUAUCGAGCAUUUGCAAGCAAAAGUUCUGGGAUUCAUCCUCACUGGUCUAGCCUAGGUCACAUACCAGUAAUUUUUGCUGGGGGAAUGGAUUCUGCAGCUUGGCUUAAACCAAACUGAAUUAUUUCCAAAGUUACAAGCAGGACUAAGUUUCCCGAAAGCACAAGGGCUUUGUGGAGGAGAUGUGAAUACUUUAAAAGCUGGAUAUUGGUAAGAAGCGGGAAGAGGACAAUGAAUCUUGAAUUCGUGUGUUCAAAAGUGAAAAUAUUGGAGUUUCUGAGUUUCAAGGUAAUGUAGAAGGUAAGCAAGCAGGCAUUGUCAGUAUCCUGAGGGAUCAUGUCCAAGAACUUUACAGAACCCAAAGGCAGAGGAGAGAGCCAGGAAUGCUGGUGUCCUGAGGAACAUGCGGCAGUGGCACUGCUCUUCCUGGGCCCCUAGGGGCGCACCACUGAGAAGCAUCAAAAGCACCUUCAGUUUGGCAGUCUGGAAAAGGAGAUCUUGCAGCUGAAAUCAAGGAGAUUGCCACAACCACCUCAACCUUCAGCAAGCAUCAUCCUGAUCAGUCAGCAGCCAUCAAGGCCCCUCACCGGCAAAAGAAAAAAUUACAACUCACUGAAGGCUCAGACUUCAAAAAGUCCAGUGUUGAAGCAGUUCUGAAUUGAGAUCUCAUAAUUCCCAAGGACAUAGCAAUGAGGCCUAUUCAGCAACACACAGGAAGAACAGCCUUUACAGGCCAGGAUCCACUGCAUAUAGGAAUCUUUCUCAUUGAAAUCUACAGAGCUCAAGAGUAUCUGCAUUUGGAGAAGAGCCUGGGAAGCAGCUAUCCAAGCACUGGGUGCAUUCCAAUCUCAGGUCCCUCGUUGGCUGCUCGUCAGAUUUCUCUCUUCAAUUCCAAGCGCAUCUUAUGUAAACAAUAGUGUCUAUGAUAGUGGAUGUGAUUGUGUGCUACCUGGAUCUCCUAGCUGAAAUCCUUCGAAGAAUUUCCUUCAGUCAAUGGGAGCCACCUCCCCUGAGGUUAUGGCUCCAGGUGAAGAUUAAACAGCUGUAGAAGUGUCAUCCAAGAUUGGCCAAUGCUGUUCCUGAGAGUCCUUCCUGGAGAGCCAUCUGCACACAGAUCUCAGUCUCAGAGUCUAUUUCCCAAUGAAUCUAAUCUGAGAGAUCUCUUCAUUUGCUGUUUUUUCCCUGUAUGAAAUAGUUACUUUGUUUUACUUUAUUUUAUUAAGUUCAGUGGUACAUGUGCAGGUGUGUUAUAUAGGUAAAUUGUGUGUC